AGUGUAUGGAAAAGCUUCAUAGAUGAGCUUCUAGACAAUGAAUACGAACGAGAUUUGAUUCUUGGGGGUGAACCAGGAUCCACCUCGGAGCUUUUCAUGUUUGAAAAAUUUGAACUCGGACUAUUGGAAUAAGUGGCACUAGAAUGACGACUAAAAGAGCGCCAACGCUUAAUGGAUCCAUUUCUUGGAUUAAAAGAAUUAAUCCUAAUGGAUGUCGAGGCUAUAGGAGUAGGUGCAGCAGAUUGCGUAAUUAAAGUAGAAGAAGUAUUUGGAGAAGUAGGCGCAGCUACCAGAGGAGGUAGUGAAGACAAAGGAAUGGUUUUGAUAAAGCUUCCUUGAUGAUUGAUAAGGAACAAAAGAGCCGUUUGCGAUAUUUGAUAAUCUUUUGAGUAAACCUCGUGAUCAGGAUGAGAUAGAAUUCCAGGUUGGAAAAUAGCAGCCAAAUUAUCAGCAGUCAUCAGGUUCUUCGACGAGUUCAUCGCAAAAACGGAAAGUAAGUCCAGUAAAUAAAGUAAAAGCUGGCGAUUUGGAAUCGGUAAUUCAUCAAUGCGUCGACGAUACAUUUCCACUCGCUCAUUGUCUGUAAGAUUGGGAAUUGUCAUGGGUUCACGAAACCUUUCAUAAUACUCCAAAGGAAUCACAUGCUCUGGCAUUAGAUUGAUGAAUCUCCGAAAAACAUUGGCAGCAUCAUGAACUGUGUAUCCUUCCCAAUCAAAACUUCGGCCAUAAUCCGGGCCUGUACUGAAAGCUUUUUGGAGAAUUUGGAUUCGUUUGGAAGAACCAUUAACGCGAAAAAUUCCCUUUACUUGGGUAGCAUUUUGUUUAAGAAAAAACCCGCACUUAGCAACGACAGCGGGAAUGUAGCCAUAAAAUACUUUCUCACCGUCUCGGCGUGUCAGAAAGAUAGCGACCUUCGAUACUUCCAAAGCCCUUGUAAGGCUCAGACCAAACAAUUUAUUGUCAUCUGACUUUUUAACCCGCAAUUGCUUCCACCAGCUAGCGAAUGAUGACUUUUUCCCCAUAUCGUCAAUCUGUAGGACUCCUACGACAACAGUCAUGAACAAUGGCUAUUGUAAUAAAAAUUGAAAAACUUAACAAAUGAAAACAAUAAAAAAAAGAAUUCAAUGAGGAAAAUGAGAUAACAGACAAAAGAUUUAAACCCAAAUACAAUGAAAGAAUUGUAGAUGUGUAAAAAAAAAGUAACCGAUAAAUUGACACUCUUUAAAAUUGAAUAACAAUUCUG